rnacentral:rRNA from 1 species
GACGAACGCUGGCGGCGUGCUUAACACAUGCAAGUCGAACGGUAAGGCUCCAGCUUGCUGGGGUACACGAGUGGCGAACGGGUGAGUAACACGUGGGUGACCUGCCCUGCACUUCGGGAUAAGCCUGGGAAACUGGGUCUAAUACCGGAUAGGACCGCACCGUGAGGGUGUGGUGGAAAGUUUUUUCGGUGUGGGAUGGGCCCGCGGCCUAUCAGCUUGUUGGUGGGGUAAUGGCCUACCAAGGCGGCGACGGGUAGCCGGCCUGAGAGGGUGGACGGCCACAUUGGGACUGAGACACGGCCCAGACUCCUACGGGAGGCAGCAGUGGGGAAUAUUGCACAAUGGGCGGAAGCCUGAUGCAGCGACGCCGCGUGGGGGAUGACGGCCUUCGGGUUGUAAACUCCUUUCACCAUCGACGAAGGGUUUCUGACGGUAGAUGGAGAAGAAGCACCGGCUAACUACGUGCCAGCAGCCGCGGUAAUACGUAGGGUGCGAGCGUUGUCCGGAAUUACUGGGCGUAAAGAGCUCGUAGGUGGUUUGUCGCGUCGUCUGUGAAAUUCCGGGGCUUAACUCCGGGCGUGCAGGCGAUACGGGCAUAACUUGAGUACUGUAGGGGAGACUGGAAUUCCUGGUGUAGCGGUGAAAAUGCGCAGAUAUCAGGAGGAAACACCGGUGGCGAAGGCGGGUUCUCUGGGCAGUAAUUGACGCUGAGGGAGCGAAAGCAUGGGGGAGCGAAACAGGAUUUAAUACUCUGGUUUGUCCAAGGGCUAAUUCCCCAGUGGGAUAUAAAGCUUAUCGAUACCGUCGACCCCGAGGAGUGUGGUUUUUAUUAUCAAAUUUGUUCCCUUUAGUGAGGGGUUAUUAAC